rnacentral:rRNA from 1 species
UCCUACGGGAGGCAGCAGUGAGGAAUAUUGGGCAAUGGACGAAAGUCUGACCCAGCAACGCCGCGUGGAGGAUGAAUGCCGUAAGGUUGUAAACUCCUUUUGAGAGGGACGAAAACCCAUAUUUCGUAAGGGAUAUGGUAUGACUGUACCUCUAGAAGAAGCCCCGGCUAACUACGUGCCAGCAGCCGCGGUAAUACGUAGGGGGCAAGCGUUGUCCGGAUUUACUGGGUGUAAAGGGCGCGUAGGCGGAUUUGUAAGUCAGAGGUGAAAGCCCGCAGCUUAACUGCGGAACUGCCUUUGAUACUGCUUAUCUUGAGUUCGGAAGAGAGAAGCGGAAUUCCAGGUGUAGUAGUGAAAUACGUAGAUAUCUGGAAGAACACCAGUGGCGAAGGCGGCUUCUUGGUCCGUAACUGACGCUGAGGCGCGAAAGCAUGGGGGGCAAACAGGAUUAGAUACCCCAGUAGUCCAAGCCG